GUUAGCGGCGGACGGGUGAGUAACACGUGGGUAACCUGCCUGUAAGACUGGGAUAACUCCGGGAAACCGGGGCUAAUACCGGAUGCUUGUUUGAACCGCAUGGUUCAAACAUAAAAGGUGGCUUCGGCUACCACUUACAGAUGGACCCGCGGCGCAUUAGCUAGUUGGUGAGGUAAUGGCUCACCAAGGCGACGAUGCGUAGCCGACCUGAGAGGGUGAUCGGCCACACUGGGACUGAGACACGGCCCAGACUCCUACGGGAGGCAGCAGUAGGGAAUCUUCCGCAAUGGACGAAAGUCUGACGGAGCAACGCCGCGUGAGUGAUGAAGGUUUUCGGAUCGUAAAGCUCUGUUGUUAGGGAAGAACAAGUACCGUUCGAAUAGGGCGGUACCUUGACGGUACCUAACCAGAAAGCCACGGCUAACUACGUGCCAGCAGCCGCGGUAAUACGUAGGUGGCAAGCGUUGUCCGGAAUUAUUGGGCGUAAAGGGCUCGCAGGCGGUUUCUUAAGUCUGAUGUGAAAGCCCCCCGGCUCAACCGGGGAGGGUCAUUGGAAACUGGGGAACUUGAGUGCAGAAGAGGAGAGUGGAAUUCCACGUGUAGCGGUGAAAUGCGUAGAGAUGUGGAGGAACACCAGUGGCGAAGGCGACUCUCUGGUCUGUAACUGACGCUGAGGAGCGAAAGCGUGGGGAGCGAACAGGAUUAGAUACCCUGGUAGUCCACGCCGUAAACGAUGAGUGCUAAGUGUUAGGGGGUUUCCGCCCCUUAGUGCUGCAGCUAACGCAUUAAGCACUCCGCCUGGGGAGUACGGUCGCAAGACUGAAACUCAAAGGAAUUGACGGGGGCCCGCACAAGCGGUGGAGCAUGUGGUUUAAUUCGAAGCAACGCGAAGAACCUUACCAGGUCUUGACAUCCUCUGACAAUCCUAGAGAUAGGACGUCCCCUUCGGGGGCAGAGUGACAGGUGGUGCAUGGUUGUCGUCAGCUCGUGUCGUGAGAUGUUGGGUUAAGUCCCGCAACGAGCGCAACCCUUGAUCUUAGUUGCCAGCAUUCAGUUGGGCACUCUAAGGUGACUGCCGGUGACAAACCGGAGGAAGGUGGGGAUGACGUCAAAUCAUCAUGCCCCUUAUGACCUGGGCUACACACGUGCUACAAUGGACAGAACAAAGGGCAGCGAAACCGCGAGGUUAAGCCAAUCCCACAAAUCUGUUCUCAGUUCGGAUCGCAGUCUGCAACUCGACUGCGUGAACGCUGGAAUACGCUAGUA
rnacentral:rRNA from 1 species